rnacentral:rRNA from 1 species
UACGUAGGUGGCAAGCGUUGUCCGGAAUUAUUGGGCGUAAAGCGCGCGCAGGCGGCUUCUUAAGUCUGAUGUGAAAUCUCGGGGCUCAACCCCGAGCGGCCAUUGGAAACUGGGAAGCUUGAGUACAGAAGAGGAGAGUGGAAUUCCACGUGUAGCGGUGAAAUGACGUAGAUAUGUGGAGGAACACCAGUGGCGAAGGCGACUCUCUGGUCUGUAACUGACGCUGAGGCGCGAAAGCGUGGGGAGCAAACAGG